GUCUUUUUGAGUUAUUUUUAAAGUCUGACCUGCCCCCUGAUAAUUAAUUAAAUGGCCGCAGUAUUUUAACUGUGCAAAGGUAGCAUAAUCAUUAGUCUUUUAAUUGAAGGCUGGAAUGAACGGUUGGACGAGGUAUAAGCUGUUUCAUAAAAAUUUAUGUUAGAAUUUUAUCUUUUAGUCAAAAAGCUAAAAUUUAAAUAAAAGACGAGAAGACCCUAUAAAUCUUUAUAUUUUUUUUUAUUCAAAUUUUUUUGAUUUUGUUUAUUUUUAUAAAAAANAAUAUUUUGUUGGGGUGAUGUUAAAAUUUAAUGAACUUUUAAUUAUAAAAAACCAUUAAUUUAUGAAUUAUUGAUCCUUUAUUAUUGAUUAUAAGAUUAAGUUACUUUAGGGAUAACAGCGUAAUUUUUUUUGAGAGUUCUUAUCGAUAAAAAAGUUUGCGACCUCGAUGUUGGAUUAAGAUAUAUUUUUAGGUGUAGUCGCUUAAAUGUUAAGUCUGUUCGACUUUUAAAUUCUUACAU
rnacentral:rRNA from 1 species